UACGAAGGGUGCAAACGUUGCUCGGAAUUAUUGGGCGUAAAGCGCACGUAGGCGGCUUUGCAAGUCCCAUGUGAAAUCCCACGGCUUAACCGUGGAAGUGCAUGGGAAACUGCAGAGCUUGAGUACUUAAGAGGAUCGCGGAAUUCCCGGUGUAGAGGUGAAAUUCGUAGGUAUCGGGAGGAACACCAGUGGCGAAGGCGGCAUCCUGGACCGGCAUUGACGCUGAGGAGCGAAAGCCAGGGGAGCAAACGGG
rnacentral:rRNA from 1 species